rnacentral:rRNA from 1 species
CAGCAGCCGCGGUAAUACGUAGGGUGCAAGCGUUAAUCGGAAUUACUGGGCGUAAAGCGUGCGCAGGCGGUUUGUUAAGACAGAUGUGAAAUCCCCGGGCUCAACCUGGGAACUGCAUUUGUGACUGGCAAGCUAGAGUCUGGCAGAGGGGGGUGGAAUUCCGCGUGUAGCAGUGAAAUGCGUAGAUAUGCGGAGGAACACCGAUGGCGAAGGCAGCCCCCUGGGCCAACACUGACGCUGAGGCGCGAAAGCGUGGGGAGCAAACAGGAUUAGAUACCCCAGUAGUCCCUGUCUCUUAUAC